AUAGGGAGGAACUGCAAUGCUCCAUUAAAUUCGUGGCUAAACACAAUGUUAAUAUUGGUAUAAAGUUAUUAAUUUCAGUAUUUUGUACAGCUCAGUGCGAUUAUUAUGAAUAACAACAGUAGCGUCAGUGUUGGUAACAAUUAUAUUAACAGCUGUCAUAGUAUAGGUUUUAAUGAGCGUUUUCUGGCGUGCAGAGCAGUCUAGCCUCUGUUUCCGAAUCAAAACAAAGAUGGCAGCUCGCCGGCUACCUGAACCGGAAAGAGUCGCAGCUUGGGAAACAGGUUAAAAAUCUUUAAUAAUCUUUUUAUUAUUCGGCGGGCGGAAUAUUUCUUCAUCCAGAUGGCUAUAAAAGUCUUUGAAAAUCCUGGAAAUACCCCCAGAACAACGUGCGGAACAGUGAACUCAUCAAGCUACAUCAAUACAGACAUAUUACACUUCCGCACCUGCCUCAUAAGCUGCUAACGCUGCGGCCAGAUGGCACUUCUCUGAAAACACCUGGCCCUCCACGCACGUCCCUGCAGCCUUCUCCCGUACUGUAGACCCAGACCUCUUCAGUUGUUGUUAAGGAUGCAAUUUCAGAUUAUCAGGCAUAAUGGAGGAUUACAGAAUCUCUCAGCAGUGCAGUUGAGUGAUGUCUAAUGUAUUAAGUCCAUCCUCGUCCUUUACCAGAGGAAGGAAGGUUGCUGACAAAAAAAACCAUUUUUUUUCCAGACUAACUAUAAACAGAGUCAUCUUCACCUGAAAACAAAGAAGGAAAUAUUUAAAGAUGAAUAACCUCCAAUGCAGAACAUAUAAGUCCACUAUUAAAGAACUCCAGUCUUGUCAAACUUUUGUGUUUUUGACAUUAUGAGCUACAUCUCUUUGAGUGUGUGUCAGUUUGGCAUCUGUUGCACUUUUCAUGAUGUCCUUACCCAGUCCCAGUACAGUGUGAAAUGUAUUUUUAUUAUCAUUUUUA